AGAGUUUGAUCCUGGCUCAGGAUGAACGCUAGCUACAGGCUUAACACAUGCAAGUCGAGGGGCAGCAGAUCGAAAGCUUGCUUUUGAUGCUGGCGACCGGCGCACGGGUGAGUAACGCGUAUCCAACCUUCCCUAUAGUAGAGAAUAGCCCGGCGAAAGUCGGAUUAAUGCUCUAUGUUGUAUUUAGAGGACAUCUGAAGAAUACCAAAGGUUUACCGCUAUAGGAUGGGGAUGCGUCUGAUUAGGUAGUAGGCGGGGUAACGGCCCACCUAGCCGACGAUCAGUAGGGGUUCUGAGAGGAAGGUCCCCCACAUUGGAACUGAGACACGGUCCAAACUCCUACGGGAGGCAGCAGUGAGGAAUAUUGGUCAAUGGACGGAAGUCUGAACCAGCCAAGUAGCGUGCAGGAUGACGGCCCUAUGGGUUGUAAACUGCUUUUAUAUAGGGAUAAAGUCGGGGACGUGUCCCCGUUUGUAGGUACUAUAUGAAUAAGGACCGGCUAAUUCCGUGCCAGCAGCCGCGGUAAUACGGAAGGUCCAGGCGUUAUCCGGAUUUAUUGGGUUUAAAGGGAGCGCAGGCUGAUGAUUAAGCGUGACGUGAAAUGUAGCCGCUCAACGGCUGAACUGCGUCGCGAACUGGUUAUCUUGAGUGAGUUCGAUGUUGGCGGAAUUCGUGGUGUAGCGGUGAAAUGCUUAGAUAUCACGAAGAACUCCGAUUGCGAAGGCAGCCAACAAGGCCUUUACUGACGCUAAAGCUCGAAGGUGCGGGU
rnacentral:rRNA from 1 species